GUUGCUAAGGCCGCACGUCCUGAUUACCGUGAAGAAAUCAGUCCGUGACAUGUCGCUGGCUUAGAGAGAGAGCAUAUCGUUAUGGUUAAAGAAAUCGAAGGAGUUUCUCUCCGAUACUAUCAUCAUUCAUCCUUGACGUUGAGGUGGUGUUUGCCGGCAGCAUGGUCAGUAAGAAGAACAAUGGAGAAGUAAGAUUGCCCAGUCAAGGGAAGAGGUGGAGUAGAUCGGGGUCGGGAUAAAAGAAAUCAUCGAAGAAGGCGAAGACAAUUUCACUGUUAGAUUUUGUUUAGAGAUUAUGGCCGGAUCUGAAUCGAAAAUAUCAUAGUAUAGGAAGUCUCCAUAUCGUUUGUUUUCUGUGCAAGAAUCAUAAAGUGUUAAGUUGUUAACGCUAUUGUCUAUAUGGAUAUUACCUUGUAUUGUAUUUUUGUAUAUUUUAGUUAUAAAUAAUGAAUAGCUUCAAACGACUAGAUGCUUCUAUCAACACAUAAGUAACUGCAACAAUUCAUGAAUUAGUGAAAAACUAUGACAAAGUAGUGACUAACUGCAAUGGAUUUAUGAUGAUAUUUAAGUUAUAAAAUAGACAAAUUUGUGACUAACAGAUAGUCGUAACUGGAGACAAAUUUGUGAUGAUUUUUCAGUCUUUAUUUGUGACAGUUUAGUCGCUGGCUUAGAGAGAGAGCAUAUCGUUAUGGUUAAAGAAAUCGAAGGAGUUUCUCUCCGAUACUAUCAUCAUUCAUCCUUGACACUGAGGUGGUGUUUGCCGGCAGCAUGGUCAGUAACAAGAACAAUGGAGAAGUAAGAUUGCCCAGUCAUGGGAAGAGGUGGAGCAGAUCGGGGUCGGGAUAAAAGAAAUCAUCGAAGAAGGCGAAGACAAUUUCACUGUUAGAUUUUGUUUAGAGAUUAUGGUUGGAUCUGAAUCGAAAAUAUCAUAGUAUAGGAAGUCUCCAUAUCGUUUGCUUUCUGUGC
rnacentral:lncRNA from 1 species